UACGUAGGGUGCGAGCAUUGUCCGGAAUUAUUGGGCGUAAAGAGCUCGUAGGCGGCCUGUCGCGUCGGUUGUGAAAGCCCGGGGCUUAACCCCGGGUCUGCAGUCGAUACGGGCAGGCUAGAGUUCGGUAGGGGAGAUCGGAAUUCCUGGUGUAGCGGUGAAAUGCGCAGAUAUCAGGAGGAACACCGGUGGCGAAGGCGGAUCUCUGGGCCGAUACUGACGCUGAGGAGCGAAAGCGUGGGGAGCGAACAGG
rnacentral:rRNA from 1 species